rnacentral:rRNA from 1 species
GAUGAACGCUGGCGGCGUGCCUAACACAUGCAAGUCGAACGGAGAUUACGGACGGAAGUUUUCGGAUGGAAGCCUGUAAUUCUUAGUGGCGGACGGGUGAGUAACGCGUGGGCAACCUGCCCUAUACAGGGGGAUAGCAGCUGGAAACGGCUGGUAAGACCGCAUAAGUCGGUUAAAUCGCAUGAUUUGAUCGGGAAAUGAGCAAUCAGGUAUAGGAUGGGCCCGCGUCCGAUUAGCCAGUUGGCAGGGUAAAAGCCUACCAAAGCGACGAUCGGUAGCCGGACUGAGAGGUCGGACGGCCACAUUGGGACUGAGACACGGCCCAAACUCCUACGGGAGGCAGCAGUGGGGGAUAUUGCACAAUGGAGGAAACUCUGAUGCAGCGACGCCGCGUGAGUGAAGAAGUAUUUCGGUAUGUAAAGCUCUAUCAGCAGGGGAGAUGAUGACGGUACCUGACGAAGAAGCCCCGGCUAACUACGUG